CGCACCUUGCACUCCUUGGUAUUCCGAGGAGUAUGCCUGUUUGAGUGUCUUGUAAUCAUCAAUUCAGCAUUGCUUUUGUGAUGUUGACUUGGAUUUGGGGAUUGCUGGUCUUACGAUUAGCUUCUCUUGAAUGCAUUAGUGGAAUCGAAUUGCAAUGCUACGUGUAGUGUGAUAAUAUCUUCACUGCAUAGUUGUAAUGAAGUUCUGCUUCUAACAGUCCUUCGUUGGACAACACUUGACCAUUUGACCUCAAAUCAGGUAGGACUACCCGCUGAACUUAA
rnacentral:misc_RNA from 1 species